CCGCCGCUUUAGAUAUAAUAUGUGGAUGGAGAGGAUAGGCAGAAGAGCGAGCAUGUAGGAAGACGCUCUCCGCGUUGCUGCAAAAUCCAACUAUAAUUGAGGUCGAGCUGAGAGUGGAGGCAGGACGGAGCUGAAGAAUGGGCGCUCCGCCAGACCCAAGUGGAGUGGUCUAGAUGUCGUGAGAGAAGGCGAAGGCGCGAGUUACGGCUUCGUCAGAUGGAGGAGGAGAGGACCACACUGUUUCCUCCAGAGUGCUCCUCUUCGCAUUGUUCCCAGAGGCCAACGGUAUCCCCUGUGCGCGCGUUCACCGCAAGUUGCAGCGGCAACUCCGCCCACGGAUCCGGAGGCAGGAGCAACUCCGCUGCUGGUGGCUGGUGCGGUGCCGGCGUGCAGGCAUGGAGGUGUAGAGCCGAGGUACUGGCGAGGGCGAGGUCGGCAGCCGGAACUUGGGGAGGGGGGGGGGAUUGAGUAUUUUUCUGUCGCCGGCCCAGCCAGCAAAUUCGCGGGCAUGAGGAACAUGGAGCGGCAGGAGCAGCGGUUGGGUCAGAAGUUCGACUUUGGCUGGUGUAUGUGGUGGUGGACAUCUACGCUGCCCAAGUGCAUAUGCGACUUAAUCUCGGUUAACGGGGAAAUGUCUAUCGUGUGGUGUACAUACCCUUUAGCAACUGAAAGAGAUUUGGGAGCCUGCGCCAGCAAUAGAAGCAGUCAGACAACUGUCGUCCAUGUCAUGCUCACACCAUGAGUUCAGCAAACAACGGCCGAAAACAGGCAAACAAAUCCAAGUGGGAGAAAAUUGUCAGGCAAAGUAGGAGGACAUGUCAAGUAACCAAGUAGGGGCGUGUGGUAAUCAGGUAUGAGUUCCGAUCAGGUAUUCACAGCCCUAAACAUAGGUUGACGACUGGUGUUGCAUGUGAACAGGUAACUAUUCCCUCAGACCUUUAGCAUCACCAAACAAACCAUUCAGUGAGACUAAUUAUCAGCUUUCAGUGAGCAAUCAAACCAUUUAGUUAAGACUAUUUACAGACCAAAUCCAUAUUACAGAGCGAUACAGCGCAGCUACCAGUUGUAAGUGCGUUUCAGAACCAUCUAUAAAUAUAAGCUCCGUGCCGAUACCACCAGAUGCUAAUGGAUGAUCAUGCAUACAAUUCUCAAAUCCAACAACUAUUCUGCCCUGCCAUGCUUUGCACUGAUGUCUUC